UUUAAUAAAGCCUACACAUCAUUUCGACACAUACACGUUGGAAUGCUUAGUGUUGUAAAUACAAUUCUACUAUGGACGCAUGCGUGGUAAGGACUUCUGAUAAAAAAAAUCCAUAACUAAAGACACUGCUCUCCUUAACUGGCUAUUGCAAAGCUGUAUGUUCAUUGCCUGAUGAGUCUUUGACUCACAGAGUGAACCUACAGAGAAUAUGGCACUAGGAAAACUAAGGAAAGAGGAAACUCUCGUUCUGCGGAAGAAGUUAAUCGGGCAGUCAUGCAGACUAUUCUAUUCAGAAGACCCUGUGAAAAUAGUAAAAGCAAGAGGUCAAUUUCUAUUCGAUGAAAAUGGCAAGCGCUAUCUGGACUGCAUCAGCAACGUUCAACAUGUGGGCCAUUGUCACCCAAGCAUUACAAAAGCUGCAUCAGCACAAAUGGACCUCCUGAACACAAAUGCUCGAUUCCUGCACGACAACAUAGUGAUGUAUGCCGACCGCCUGGCUGCCACCCUGCCAGAGAAACUGUGUGUGUUCUACUUUGUUAACUCCGGUUCAGAGGCCAAUGAUCUUGCCCUACGCUUAGCACAUCAGUACACCCAACAUGAGGAUGUAAUUGUGCUUGACCAUGCAUACCAUGGGCAUCUAAUGUCCCUCAUCGACAUUAGUCCUUACAAGUUCCGGAAACUGGCAGGACAAAAAGAAUGGGUUCAUGUGGCACCCUUACCAGACACCUACAGAGGCCUUUACAGAGAGGAUCACCCCAACCCCGGCCAAGCAUACGCUGAUACAGUAAAAGACCUAAUAGAGGAGGUGCACAGGGAUGGCCGUAAGAUCUCGGCCUUCUUUGCUGAGUCAUUGCCAAGUGUUGGAGGACAAAUAAUCUUACCCCAAGGAUACUCCACUAAAGUUGCAGAAUAUGUGCGAUCAGCUGGUGGAGUGUUUGUGGCAGACGAGGUGCAGACAGGCUUUGGACGUGUGGGAAGUCACUUCUGGGCUUUCCAGCUGCAGGGGCAGGGUUUUUGUCCCGACAUAGUGACCAUGGGUAAACCAAUGGGCAAUGGGCAUCCCCUGGCAUGUGUGGCAACCACUGAAGAGAUAGCUGGAGCUUUCACAGCCAACGGAGUGGAGUACUUCAAUACGUUUGGAGGGAAUCCAGUGUCCUGUGCAAUUGGCCUGGCAGUACUUGAUGUGAUAGAGGAAGAGGACCUAAAAGGAAAUGCCACCAGGGUGGGAGCACAUCUCAAAGAUUUGCUUAUAAAGCUACAACCACAACAUCAAAUAAUUGGAGAUGUCAGGUUAUUGUCCAGGGACCUAAAUGGGACAUCACAUGGUUUAAUGAGACGCGUCACAAAUGACGACAAUCAUGGUAGGUGUGGGGCUGUUCGUGGGUCUAGAGCUGGUUACAGACAGAGAGCAGAGGACUCCUGCCACAGAAACAGCAGCGUUGGUGGUGAAGAGGUUAAAAGAGGAGGAUAAUAUCUGUGUCAGUACAGAUGGUCCCUGGGAAAGUGUCAUUAAGUUCAAACCACCAAUGUGUUUCAGUAUGGAUGAUGCAGAACUGACAGUAAAAUGUAUUGACCGCAUCCUCACAGACAUGGAAGCCAGUGACAUAUAAACUGGAAAAGGAAGACGUCUAUGAUGUUCAGUGCCUUUUUAAGGCAUAGGAAUCACUUCAGUCAACUGAGAUGAAAACUACCAAAAAAAUUUUUUAAAAAGGGAUGCCAGCUGAACUGUUAGCCAUUCUGACAAAAAUUAAGAAACUAAUAAAAGAUUUUUUCCCCAAUCCUGACUAAUUUGUGUUCUAUCAACAACUGCGAUAUUUAAAAUAUGAUCAGUCCCAGUUAGCAAUACUGAUCAGCAACAUGUUCUCAAUACACAUAUAGUUGAGAUAAGCACUUACCAGAUCACUAUCAUUAACUCCUGUUCACAUUUAUAAAAUGCUAAAGUACUGCAGUUUUACAUAAAGUGGAGUGGGAAUUAACCAGCCAGUUUGCUGCAGGUAGUGAAGCUCUCUCCUGCAUCCGUAGAGAUGUUAACAUUACCCAAGACAAAACAAGCAAGCCAUUUAACAGUACAAAACAUUUAACAUUAACUUUACAAAUAAUAACAAAAGGAUCCAUGUGUAAUAUAAACCAAAAGUUUAUUUCUACCAAUUUGCCCAAGACACUAGAGGAAUGAGUAUCCAGUGAGAGAGGGAGUACCCUCUUACAUUAACAGGCUUGCGUUCAGUUGAAUAACACUAGUAAAGCCACUUAAAAUUGCAGACAUGAUGGGGGAAGAAUCUCCAUAAA